rnacentral:rRNA from 1 species
CGUAGGUAAUCUAUCCUUACAUUUGGGAUAACAUCGGGAAACUGGUGCUAAUACCGAAUGGUCUUCAUUGCUUUGGGGCGAUGGAGUAAAGGUGGCCUCUUCAUGAAAGCUACCGUGUAGGGAUGAGCCUGCGUACCAUUAGCUAGUAGGUGGGGUAAUGGCCCACCUAGGCUACGAUGGUUAGCGGGUCUGAGAGGAUGAUCCGCCACACUGGAACUGAAACACGGACCAG